rnacentral:rRNA from 1 species
UACAGAGGGUGCAAGCGUUGUUCGGAAUUAUUGGGCGUAAAGCGCGUGUAGGCGGCUUUGCAAGUCGGAUGUGAAAGCCCUCGGCUCAACCUGGGAAUUGCAUUUGAGACUGAAUAGCUAGGGUGCGGAAGAGGGAAGCGGAAUUUCCGGUGUAGCGGUGAAAUGCGUAGAUAUCGGAAGGAACACCAGUGGCGAAAGCGGCUUCCUGGUCCAGCACCGACGUUCAGGCACGAAAGCGUGGGGAGCAAACAGG